ACAGGGAUCUGGUGUGAAUGUUACAUUAGACAAUCAACAGAAUCGACGUUUUUCUGAGUGAGUGCACUGGUGUUGUAUUUCUUUUGGGAUUUAAGCUGUCUUAUCACUAAACCCUUUAAAAGAUGUGUCUCAAGUACUUAGUUGGUCAUUUGAAUUCUCUUUACCUCUCUCUCUCUCUCACACACACACACAGACACACACACACAUACAUACACGCGCGCACACACACACACACACACACACACACACACACACACAUCAAGGGAAACUUAACUGAGAACUCAACCAAGCAAGACUCUUUUUUUGUACUCACUCUCCUAUGUCCAAACAUUCAAGCACUCCCACACAUACACAGACACACACACACACACACACACUCCCACACAUACACAGACACACAAACACAGUCUGAGAGAGAACACCAGCUAGCCAAUGCAGAGACAUGCAGGUCAGUGGGCCGUCCUGAGAGAGGGGGUCACACUUGUGCCCACGGCAACAGGACAGACUCCAAACACAGCGUUGUCAACCAAAAUCCCCUCAAAGCUAUGCAGCUCCCUUAAGCCCUUCUCUCCCUCAACAUGAGCUUCUGUGGGUCCCCAGGAUUACUCGUCUGUGAGGAGAGCGACGCUGUCGGGGACAUCAGGAAGCACUUGGACCAAAGCCAGGAGCUGAGACGCCAUCUUGCUGAGCUCCAGAGCAACACUGAGCAGGAGAUCUCCACCAUCACACAGCAGCUUGGGUGUGUGGUGCUGCGGCGUGAGCGUAUAAGCUGUGAGUUAGCCGAUCUCCAGAGGCAGCACUCCGAGGUCCAGUCCGCCCUAGAGAGGAACCGGGACUCAGACACCUGUGCUACUCUACUGCAGCAGAGGCGUGAGCUGCAGGUGUGUAUAGCCGGCCGGGCAGCACAGCGAGAGCGUGUGUGUUUUCGGGAACAGGCCCUCCGAGCACUGCAAGGCAUUCUAAGCGCAGACGCCCACAGGUACCAGCAGGAGACCCAGAAACUUCACCUCCUCAGCCACAGAGCCUCCAGUGUCAUGCCAGGGGAGAGCCAGAACGAGCCGGACAACAUGGACAGCCUCCGCUCGGACAGCAGGACAGCCACAGCGCUCCAUUCGGAGGCGCUCACUAAUGGACACACAGCCAUGGGCGCUAAUGCAGGAUCUCCAGGGUCGCCGGGGAGCGCGGAGGACGAGGACAAAAGGUGGAGGGCGAGCAAACAGGCAGCGUCCACGAAGGGCUCGACUCUGACGCGCUCCGGGAGCGUCAAGGACCUGAUUCACAAGUUCUCCGUACCAGACAGCCCCAUCUCCCCCAUGUCCUCCCCAGAGAUGUCCCCCAGCACGGGGCCUCUGACUGGGAAGGCCCCCGGAGCAGAGCCAGGGGGGCCCGGAGGAGUGCCGGAGCCCAGCAGACCUGCUGCUGAGGGCCAGGAAGGAGAAAGAGAGAAGUCUCCUCAGAGGAGCUCCAUGCCCUCCGUGACAGUGACCGUGACUCCCCCCACUGAGGAAUCCUCUCGCACGGACAAGCAGAGUGAGACGACUGGCCCCUCCAAUGGGGCUUUGGCAGGCAGCGGGACAAAGGUGGAAUGCCACUUUGAUUCCAGCAAGCAGCCUGAGAGCCCCUCAUCCGAGGAGGAGGCGCCCAGCGCCAAGGCCAGCCAGAACCCCAAGUAUCAGCUGUACAUGAGUGGAGAGGCCCUGGGGAACGGCUCCAGAGAUCCAGAGGGGCUGGUGGGAGAGAGCGGGCCCCGGACCAGCCGCUGGGAGAGCAGCAGGCAGGGGACGAGCAACCGGGGCUCCAUGGAGUCCCUCCUCUCCAGAGACUGGGACACCAUGUCAGACCGGGUGGGUGGCUUUGAGAGCCCUCCUCUCCGCGUCUUCAACAGCCCCUACACAUCAUCUCUGGAUUUCAAUCCCAUCCACAGGAUGUCUGAGUAUAAGGUCCAGGACGGGCUCUCCCCUGCCACCGACUUCAACAUCUUUGGGCUGAACGGGCGAAGCACCAGCCCUGUGACAUUCACCAACGUGCACGCCCCUCGUGCACGCUACACUUCAACCUAUGACACCCUCACCAGGAGACGGGAGAGAGAGACGGCCCCCAACCAAGUGUCUCUGCGCUCGGGCAUGUCCAACAAACGGGACUACAUUGAGGAGCUGACCAAACAGCUGGAGGAGGUUCAGAGGAGGAACCAGUUCUUGGAGGCCGAGAGCAUUGAGAUGGAUAAGGAGCGAAACCAGAUCCGCUUUGAGAUGCGUGGGCUCCUGGUCAACAAUGAAGACCUGGUGCGCAACAACACCCAGCUGCAGGGGGAGAUGAAGAAGAUGAGGGACAGGAUGGUGGAGGUGGAGUCCGACCACAACGUCAUGGUGGAGCGUUUCAGACAGAUGGAGGGUGAACUGAAAGAAGCCAGAGAGGUGAUGGUAGAAGCCAACACUCAGGAGUACGCCUUCAACUUCCUCCAGCAGUCCCUCAAGAACAAGAUUCAGGAUGCUGAGGACGCCCUGGACAAGCAGACGCAGCACGCUCAGGUCAUCUCUGAGAAGCUGUGGUUAGCGGAGCGGAAGCUGGAGGAGCUGGAGGUGGACAAAGAGACCAGAGGCAAGAAGAACUCUGAGCUCAACAGCUCUGUGCAGCGCCUGGAGGAUGAGCUGGCCGAGGCCUUGCAGACGUCUACACAGGCCAGUGUAGAGCUCAGCCUGCAGCAGAAGCUGAGAGCUGAUGCCCAGCUGCGGGUGGAGGAGCUAGAGGAGAGCCUGCUGGAGAAGAACCAGGAAAUGCUCAGACUCCAGCAGAUCAUCCACAGACUACAGGGAGAGGUCUCCGGUAAGCUGAUUGAUAAGGAGCAGAGCUUGGAGGAGGAGAUCCAGCUGAGGGAGAGGAUCCAGCUGCAGUGCAAACAGGCCGAGCGCCACGUGGAGGACCUGCAGAUGGAGAUACACACAGCCAAACAGGCCAGAGAAGACCUGGUCAAACAGCUCAAGAGCACACAGGUACACACACACACACACACACACAUACACACACACACACACACACACACACACACACACACACACACACACAGGAUCCAUCUCUCUCUCACACACACACACAAAUGCAUACACACACUCUGUCUCACGCUCUCUCACACACACACACACACACACACACACACACACACACACACACACACACACACACACACACACACACACACAUACUGUCUUUCUCUCUCUCAUAGUUUGUGGUGA
rnacentral:lncRNA from 1 species